UCCAGGCAAAUCCGGAUAAUCAAGGCUGAGGUGUGAUGACGAGGCACUACGGUGCUGAAGUAACAAAUGCCCUGCUUCCAGGAAAAGCCUCUAAGCAUCAGGUAACAUUAAAUCGUACCCCAAACCGACACAGGUGGUCAGGUAGAGAAUACCAAGGCGCUUGAGAGAACUCGGGUGAAGGAACUAGGCAAAAUGGUGCCGUAACUUCGGGAGAAGGCACGCUGGUGUGUAGGUGAAGUCCCUGCGGAUGGAGCUGAGACCAGUCGAAGAUACCAGCUGGCUGCAACUGUUUAUUAAAAACACAGCACUGUGCAAACACGAAAGUGGACGUAUACGGUGUGACGCCUGCCCGGUGCCGGAAGGUUAAUUGAUGGGGUUAUCCGUAAGGAGAAGCUCUUGAUCGAAGCCCCGGUAAACGGCGGCCGUAACUAUAACGGUCCUAAGGUAGCGAAAUUCCUUGUCGGGUAAGUUCCGACCUGCACGAAUGGCGUAAUGAUGGCCAGGCUGUCUCCACCCGAGACUCAGUGAAAUUGAACUCGCUGUGAAGAUGCAGUGUACCCGCGGCAAGACGGAAAGACCCCGUGAACCUUUACUAUAGCUUGACACUGAACAUUGAGCCUUGAUGUGUAGGAUAGGUGGGAGGCUUUGAAGCGUGGACGCCAGUCUGCGUGGAGCCAACCUUGAAAUACCACCCUUUAAUGUUUGAUGUUCUAACGUUGGCCCCUGACCGGGGUUGCGGACAGUGUCUGGUGGGUAGUUUGACUGGGGCGGUCUCCUCCCAAAGCGUAACGGAGGAGCACGAAGGUUAGCUAAUCCUGGUCGGACAUCAGGAGGUUAGUGCAAUGGCAUAAGCUAGCUUGACUGCGAGCGUGACGGCGCGAGCAGGUGCGAAAGCAGGUCAUAGUGAUCCGGUGGUUCUGAAUGGAAGGGCCAUCGCUCAACGGAUAAAAGGUACUCCGGGGAUAACAGGCUGAUACCGCCCAAGAGUUCAUAUCGACGGCGGUGUUUGGCACCUCGAUGUCGGCUCAUCACAUCCUGGGGCUGAAGUAGGUCCCAAGGGUAUGGCUGUUCGCCAUUUAAAGUGGUACGCGAGCUGGGUUUAGAACGUCGUGAGACAGUUCGGUCCCUAUCUGCCGUGGGCGCUGGAGAAUUGAGGGGGGCUGCUCCUAGUACGAGAGGACCGGAGUGGACGCAUCACUGGUGUUCGGGUUGUCAUGCCAAUGGCACUGCCCGGUAGCUAAAUGCGGAAGAGAUAAGUGCUGAAAGCAUCUAAGCACGAAACUUGCCCCGAGAUGAGUUCUCCCUGAGACUUUAAGUCUCCUGAAGGAACGUUAAAGACGAUGACGUUGAUAGGCCGGGUGUGUAAGCGCAGCGAUGCGUUGAGCUAACCGGUACUAAUGAACCGUGAGGCUUAACCUUACAACGCCGAAG
rnacentral:rRNA from 1 species